rnacentral:rRNA from 1 species
GACGAACGCUGGCGGCGUGCUUAACACAUGCAAGUCGAACGAAGUGGCGAGCGGGUGAGUAAUACGUGGGUAACCUGCCCUCCUUUAUGGGAUAAGCCUUGGAAACGGGGUCUAAUACCGAAUAAUGGCGGAUGGGCUCGCGGCCUUUCAGCUUGUUGGUGGGGUCAUGGCCUACCAAGGCUGUGCCGGUUAGCCGGCCUGCGAGGGUGACCGGCCACAUUGGGACUGAGAUACAGCUAAGAGUCCUACGGGUAGGAACAGUGGGGGAUAUUACGCAAUGGGCGAAGGCCUGAUGCAGGGACGCCGCGUGGGGGAUGAGGGCUUACGGGUUGUAAGCCUCUUUCGCUAUAGAACGGGUAGGUGGAGAAGAAGCGACGGCUAACUACGUGCCAGCAGCCGCGGUAAUAC